AGCGAACGCUGGCGGCGUGCUUAACACAUGCAAGUCGAGUGCGCGGUUCGUAGCAAUACGAACUGGCGCACGGCGCACGGGUGAGGAACACGUGGGCAACAUGCCCUCCGAUGGGGAAUAACCCGCCGAAAGGCGGGCUAAUACCGCAUACGAUUCCGGGGACCUCGGUUCCUGGACUGAAAGCCCGCAAGGGCGUCGGUGGAGUGGCCCGCGGCCGAUUAGCUUGUUGGCGGGGUAACGGCCCACCAAGGCAAUGAUCGGUAGCCGGUCCUGAGAGGAUGAUCGGCCGACACU
rnacentral:rRNA from 1 species